GACGAACGCUGGCGGCGUGCCUAAUACAUGCAAGUUGAGCGAUGAAGAUUGGUGCUUGCCCCAAUUUGAAGAGCAGCGAACGGGUGAGUAACGCGUGGGGAAUCUGCCUUUGAGCGGGGGACAACAUUUGGAAACGAAUGCUAAUACCGCAUAACAACUUUAAACAUAAGUUUUAAGUUUGAAAGAUGCAAUUGCAUCACUCAAAGAUGAUCCCGCGUUGUAUUAGCUAGUUGGUGAGGUAAAGGCUCACCAAGGCGAUGAUACAUAGCCGACCUGAGAGGGUGAUCGGCCACAUUGGGACUGAGACACGGCCCAAACUCCUACGGGAGGCAGCAGUAGGGAAUCUUCGGCAACGGACGAAAGUCUGACCGAGCAACGCCGCGUGAGGGAAGAAGGUUUUCGGAUCGUAAAACUCUGUUGGUAGAGAAGAACGUUGGUGAGAGUGGAAAGCUCAUCAAGUGACGGUAACUACCCAGAAAGGGACGGCUAACUACGUG
rnacentral:rRNA from 1 species